GACAGAGGGUGCAACCGUUGUUCGGAAUUACUGGGCGUAAAGCGCGUGUAGGCAGCUUCGCAAGUCGGGUGUGAAAGCCCUGGGCUCAACCUAGGAAGUGCACUCGAAACUGCGGAGCUUGAGUCUCGGAGAGGGUCGCGGAAUUCUCGGUGUAGAGGUGAAAUUCGUAGAUAUCGAGAGGAACACCGGUGGCGAAGGCGGCGACCUGGACGAUGACUGACGCUGAGACGCGAAAGCGUGGGGAGCAAACAGG
rnacentral:rRNA from 1 species